AACGCGAAGAACCUUACCUGGGCUCGAAAUGUAGAGGACGGUAUCAGAGAUGAUACUUCUCGAAAGAGUCUUUACAUAGGUGCUGCAUGGCUGUCGUCAGCUCGUGCCGUGAGGUGUUUGGUUAAGUCCAGCAACGAGCGCAACCCUUAUCGUUAGUUGCCAACGCGUAAUGGCGGGAACUCUAACGAGACUGCCUGGGUUAACCAGGAGGAAGGUGAGGAUGACGUCAAGUCCGCAUGGCCUUUAUGUCCAGGGCAACACACGUGCUACAAUGGUCGGCACAGAAGGCAGCGAAACCGCGAGGUGAAGCAAAUCCUAUAAAGCCGAUCUCAGUUCAGAUUGUAGUCUGCAACUCGACUACAUGAAGUUGGAAUUGCUAGUAAUGGCGUGUCAGCUACAACGCCGUGAAUACGUUCCCGGGCCUUGUA
rnacentral:rRNA from 1 species